rnacentral:rRNA from 1 species
AAGCCUGACGUGGUUUGAUUAACGCCAUAGAUGCUUACAGUGUAAGCCUGACUGUGGUACGGACUUCGGCCCAGAGCAGGUAUGGGUCGGCAGGGUCAUCGAAUCGUGCUCAGUGGUGGGGAUAACUACGCCAGAAAGCGUAGAAGCACACGCAUACCGCCCUUCGGGGGAAAGCGGGGGGACCUUCGGGCCUCGCACUAUUAGAGUGGCCGAUAUCGGAUUAGCUAGCGGGUGGGGUAACGGCUCACCAAGGCGACGAUCCGUAGCUGGUUUGAGAGGACGACCAGCCACACUGGGACGCCGAGACGGCCCAGACUCCUACGGGAGGCAGCAGUGGGGAAUUGGACAAUGUGGGGAAACUGGAUCCAGUUGUCCUGCAGGUGAUGAAGGCGCCUUCGCCAGAAAGUUACCUUUUACAGGAAGAACGCAUGGAGACACCUGUGAAACGAUAAAAUUCGCAGAAUAAGCACCGGAUAACUAUGCUAAAGAAAGCUUAGCGCGAGGGCAAGCAAGACCGGAAUUACUGGGCGUAAAGCGUGCGCAGGCGGUUCGGAAAGAAAGAUGAAAUCCCAGAGCUUAACUUUGAAACUGCAUUUUUAAUCACCGAGCUAGAGUAAACAGGGAGGUGGAAUUCCUAUGAAAAAGCAGCAGAAAUGCGUAGAUAUGCGGAGGAACACCGAUGGCGAAGGCAGCCUCCUGGGAUAACACUGAUGCUCAUGCACGAAAGCGUGGGGAGCAAACAGGAUUAGAUACCCCGGUAGUCCACGCCCAAACGAUGUCGAACGCGACAGUUGGGCUCUCGUUUCGGUAUGCAGUUAACGCGUGAAGUUGACCGCCUGGGGAGUACGGUCGCAAGAUUAAAACUCAAAGGAAUUGACGGGGACCUGCAAUAAAGCAGAUGAGCAAGAUUUAUUCGAUAAUGAAAACUUUACCAGCUCCUUAUAUGUCUGGAAUCCCGAAGAGAUUUGGGAGUGCUCGCAGAGAACGGAACACAGGUGUUGCAUGGCUGUCGUCACUGUGUCGGAGAGGUUGGUUAAGUCCGCAAUGAUGCAACCCUUGUCAUUAGCGCAUGAAAGGGCACCCUAAUGAGACUGCCGGUGACAAACCGGAGGAAGGGGAUGACGUCGGUCCCGGCCUGGCGGUAGGGGCUUCACACGUCAUACAAUAUCGGGACAGAGGGUCGCCAACUCGCGAGGGGGAGCUAAUCCCAGAAACCUGAUCAGAAGUCCGAUCGCCUGCACCGACUGUGGAAGUCGGAAUCGCUAGUAAUCGCGGAUCAGCAUGUCGCGGUGAAUACGUUCCCGGCCCUGUACACACCGCCCGUCACACCAUGGGGAGUGGGUUUUACCAGAAGUAGGUUGAAGCUCAACUGCAAGGAGGGCGAUUACCACGGUAGGAUUCAUGACUGGGGUGAAGUCGUAACAAGGUAAUCUUG